rnacentral:rRNA from 1 species
UACCUUACAAGGAUAACUACGGAAAAGCUGUAGCUAAUACUUGCUUUAAUGCGUUUGAAUCCUUUUGGAUUCCCGCGUAUGUACUUGUUAAGCCUUUAAGAAAGAAGUUUAUAACUUAAGGAAUUAUAACAAAGAAGUAACACAUAAUAAGGUUGCCUUAUUUAGUGUGUAUCAAUCGAGUUUCUGACCUAUCAGCUUUUGAUGUUAGGGUAUUGGCCUAACAUGGCUAUGACGGGUAACGGGGAAUUAGAGUUCGAUUCCGGAGAGGGAGCCUGAGAAAUAGCUACCACAUCUAAGGAAGGCAGCAGGCGCGUAAAUUACCCAAUUCUAAAGAAGAGAGGUAGUGACAAGAAAUAACAAUACAAGGCCAUUUCAUGGUUUUGUAAUUGGAAUGAUGGGAAUUUAAAACCUUCCCAAAAUUCAAUUGGAGGGCAAGUCUGGUGCCAGCAGCCGCGGUAAUUCCAGCUCCAAUAGCGUAUAUUAAAAUUGUUGCAGUUAAAACGCUCGUAGUUGAAUUUCAAAGAAUCAAUAUUUUAAGUAAUACUUUUGCUAUAAGAUGCUUAGACAAUACAACGUAUCUGUUCUUUGCAUUCCUUAUGCAAAAUGUGUUCUUAUUAUAAAAAGGAUUCUUUUUAAAAUCUCUUUUGCUAUUUUUUAGUAUUGGAGAUUUUGUUACUUUGAGUAAAUUAGAGUGUUCAAAGCAAACAGUUAAAGCAUUUUUACUGCGUUUGAAUACUACAGCAUGGAAUAACAAAAUUGAACAAGUCAGAAUUCUGUUCUUUUUUCUUAUUUUGGCUUAGUUACGAUUAAUAGGAGUAGCUUGGAGGCAUUUGUAUUCAGAUGUCAGAGGUGAAAUUCUUAGAU